AUGGGCACCCCCGAGGGCUGGGCACCCCUGCGGGAUGAGGGGCAGUGGGACAGACCCCCGGGGAUGGGGAUGUGCCCCGGGGAUGGGGGCAGCAGGGCUGGGCCCUGGAGAGGAGCAAGACGUGGCCAGAGUUCUGGGGAUCACCCCCAAACUCCCCCCAGGAGCGCCAGGGGGAACGUGAGCAGAGCCAGGGGCUCCCCCGUGGCACCCCAACACUCGGUGGGACCCUGGGGGAGUCCGAAGGGCCAUGAGCCACCCCAGGCAAGGCUGGCAGCAGCGAGGGGGCUCAGCACGGCCCCCCCAUGCAAUGGGGCCCAGCCUGGGCUCCUGGGGGGUCCCGGGGGUCCCGAGGCCAGGUGGGCAGUGCAGGCAGCAGGCAGAGCAUGCAGAGGGCAAGGCAGAGCAGGGGGGCAGUGCAGGCACCCCAAACCCCCAGUGCAGCAGGGGGGCCCCGAGGGGACAGCGCUGGGACCCCCAUGCACGUGCAGCAGUGCCCCCCACGCACCCAAAGCAGGGCCGCGCUUACUUGUGCAAACUGAGUCCAGGCCAGGCGGGAGCGGGGGGGAAGCGGGGGGAGCCCUGGUCAGUUCGGGGGCUCCCCAGGGGCAGGAAGGACCCCUCAACACCCCAGAGCUGCUGAAGGGCUCCCCGAGGCAGGGGGGGCUUGGGACCCCCCUCCCUCGCCUCCCACCACAGAGGGGCCACACGUCCCCGCAGGACUUCAGGCUCAAAGCUCUGUUUGAGCCCACCCUGCUGCUCUGGCUCUCACAGGGGGGGACUCUCUGUGCCCCCCCUCAGGGGGUACCCCCUGGGCCCCUGCUCCGCGCCAGGGACCUGUGCCAAUCUCCCGGACCCCAAAAACACCAACAGCACCGAUGGCAGAGGGCGGCUGCACCCCCUGCGCUCCCAAGGCCUGGGACCCCCUCACUGUCCUGGGGGGCACCGAGUCACCCCUCAGGUCAUGACCCCCGAACCCCCACCAUCCUCCCCAGCACAUCUGGGGUCACCCCACACUCCUGGGGUCCCCCAGGACAGACCCCCGUGUGCCCCCAUCCCUGA
rnacentral:lncRNA from 1 species